UGAAAACACCAGUUUCCAUUUGAUCAUCUAAGUGAAGCAGCAUCUAGCCCCAACAGUACUUAGAUGGAGGACUGCUUGGGAACACCAGGUACUGUAA